rnacentral:lncRNA from 1 species
CCUGGUGGUGGAAGUGGUGAACACUGAAGGCUAAGUAACAAGUUAGCAAAAUGGGACCUGGAGGGCCGGGAGGAGGGCCGGGAGGACCUGGUGGACCGGGAGGAUGGGGAGGAGGACCUGGUGGUUGGGGUCCUGGCCCCGGAGGACCUGGCGGAUUUGGGCCUGGAGGUCCUGGUUGGGGUCCGGGACCUGGAGGUCCCUGGGGCCCUGGAUUUGGAGGUCCUGGUUUUUGGCCUGGUGGGUUCUUUGGCGGCUUUGCAGAUGGUUUGUGCAAUAUGAUAUCUUCCUGGUAAGCAAUCAAAUCUUUACUCAAUUCCGGUAUAGUUAAAUGCGGUUUGAUUGAGGUUAAAUUUGAUUGGGAUUGC